rfam:Ictidomys tridecemlineatus contig070488, whole genome shotgun sequence.
AGCUGCUCUGGCAGCACAUAGAACAAACUGGAAGGAUCCAGAGAAGAUCAUCGUGGUCCUUGCACAAGGACAACGCACAAAUUCAAGAGGCAUUCCAUAUUUAA